rnacentral:lncRNA from 1 species
UGGCAUAAUAAAAGAAAGACCGAGUAACUCCUUCAUUCUUCAUUCUCUUCCGUCCCAAACCAAUUUCAAGCAUAACCUCUCUACUCACAUGUUAUUAACACCGAAACCUCUUCAAUUACUAAGUAAAUUGGAUAAUUAAAGCAAGUAAACUGAAAUUGAGUUAAUAGCUGAGAUUAACGAAAGCUUGGAGCAAGGAUUUAAGAGAGUCAACAAAAGAGGUAAUCCAUAUACGUUAGCCAUGUUCUUAUAAUUGGGUAUAUUCAUAUGUAAAAUUUGUAUAUAUUUAUGCGAAUUAGUAGUAGAAAUUGUGGAAUUAGAAAGAAGGAGAAUAGUUGUUGAUGUGCGGAGGAAUAAGGAAGAGAUUUUAUGAAGAAAUCUGGAUACAUCAUGUCUAGUAAGCUAUGAAAAUCGAUUUUUAAAGUUAUGCCCACAAGUUGUUUGACGAAAAGCUUCAAAGAGUAAUUUUUGCAAUGAAUCGAUAAUUAACCAAUGUAAUGAACACGAUAGCUCAUGAAUAAGAGUUACGCUAUAAUCAAGUGAAUUGAGUUGUUUUAGUGUGCCUUUAAAGUGGUGUUAGAAAUUUUCUUGCAGUUGAGAUCAAAUAAGAAACUAGUUUUGAAAAUCUUGACAACAUAGGACUUUCAAGCCUAAUUUCAGAUUUGUUAAUGAAUCUGGAAAUAAAUUCAACCCUAGAGAUUUUUAAAAGGAUGUUACAAGUUUUCCAUAGCCUCGAGAACGGACUAAUUCCGAUAUCGAGUGAAGAAAUUAUGAAGAUUUGAAGUAGGUGCAUCAAAUAGACAAAAUCUUGAAAUUUUGGCAAAGCGGGCAGAGAAUACUAUGCUGAUUAGGCGUUGUUGCGCUUCCCACAACCCAAUUUUGGGCGCAACCACGCAUGAACAAUGCCAGACAUGAUUGCUUUAACCUCCUGUAGUAAAAUAGGCAUAAUAUUUUCAUACGAACUUCGAUUAAGGUGAUUGAAGAUGAUCUGGAAAGAUAAGAAGUAAACCUACAACUUUCAUUCUUUAAGUUUUGAAAUUUGAGGUCAAGAGUAGGGUCUAAAUUGG